GUGCUUGCUACGGCAGCACAUGUACUAAAAUUGGAACGAUACAGAGAAGAUUAGCAUGCCCCUGCGCAAGGAUGACACGCAAUAUCGUGGAGCGUUACCAAUUUUU